AGAAUCAACGCUGGCGGCGUGCCUAACACAUGCAAGUCGAACGAGAAAGUGGAGCAAUCCAUGAGUAAAGUGGCGCACGGGUGAGUAACACGUGACUAACCUACCCUUGAGUGGGGGAUAACCUAGACGAAAUCUGGGCUAAUACCGCAUAAUACCUUCGGGUCAAAGGAGCAAUUCGCUUAAGGAGGGGGUCGCGGCCGAUUAGUUAGUUGGCGGGGUAAUGGCCCACCAAGACUAUGAUCGGUA
rnacentral:rRNA from 1 species